ACUAAUGUGCAAUCACGUGAUCCCAUAACCGGCCUUUGUUUCUUUCUUUCUUUCCAUUACGGCUCUUCCUCUCUUCUUCCUCAUAAGCAUUCCAUUUCCAUCAUUUUCUAGAGAAAGAAAACGACAGCAAAGAGAAAGAGAGAAAUGGAGCCACCAGCAACACAGGCGAUAGGGAGGAAUUGCCAGUCUGGAGAAGAUGAACAGGACAAAGUUAUCAACGAAUGUUGUUCUUGCUUUUAUGAUUGCACAGAAAGCUGCUUUGAUUACUUGUGCUGUAAUUUCUGCUGAGAGAAUAAACUUUUAGAAUAUUCUAUUCUAUCUCUUACUCGCCAUGGCCCAUGAAUAUGUAUAAUGUCACCGUUUGGAGAAACUGGUUUCUUAUGGAUUUAUUGGAAUUUUAAUUUAAUUAGCUGAAGAAAAAUUGUGUAGUUUCACUUUUUUAAAAUUUUUCUGUUUUCGGUUUUGUUAAUUCGUUUCGACUCGAUUAAUCCCAAAAUUAAACCAUCUGUCGUUCGA